ACAUUAGUAGUUUGCCCAUGCGGUCUUCACAUUAUCAGUUAAAUAACAUGCAGUUGCGGUCUGCGCCCGCUAGAGGGAGACACAGACCACCAGAUCACAUUAAAAUCCACAAUUUCAUCUCAACCUUGUUAUUAACCCCUUACAUUCUGGACACUUGUUGAAAUUAGUGUCUUUUGGGUUUUUUGACCCAAAUUAUUAUAUUUUCUUUCAGAAACUACAAUGUUUAUGAUUGUAUUAUAUAAUUUAAUUAUUUGUGCAGUAUUGUAAUAUUGUCUUGUUUUGUUUGUUUCCUUUGUAGACCACACACACACCCCUAUACUCCUUCAACCUAUUCAUACUGCAUCCAGCCCGUCCUGUCCAACUUCAUAUUAAAGUUCUUGGAAAUACUCUCCGUGCCCUUCUCUCUGACCAGAGCUCUGUCGAUAGUAGCUAUCAGACCAGAAACAUCCCUUCAGAGUGUCCCACUCUAAUACACAAAACAUACAAAAAGGAUAUAUUUUGUCAGACUUUUGCCUUUAAAACACCACCAGUGCUCCACUGUAAGCUAGUUGUUCCAACAACGUGGCAUGUAGGCUGUUUCAGACGUCUUGUAGAGUUUGCAGCAGCUCUUGUGCAGACGUCGGACGUCUCUUUACAGAGUCAGAAGGACUCCAUGACUUUGACAUCAGCUCUGUGAGGAACAGACUAUCUGCUGCAGAACCACUUGUUCUUAUAAAUAUUUUUGAUAUAACUGUACAUCUUAAAAUAAAGUGCAGAACUUGAAAAAAUAAUGACUGAACAACCUGAACCAACUUAUAUACAUAUUUAACAUUAACUAAAUCUGAAAUUUAAAAUCUCGUUACAAUUUACUGAUUACAGGUUUGGGCGAACCUGUUGACCAGCCCCCACUAGACACAGGCCCACCGGGACAGUGCCCGGUAUGCCAGACGGCCAGUCCACCCUUACUACUACUACUACUACUACUACAACUAAUUGCUCGACUGUUUAAAAAUGGCAGUUCUGUGUUUUCACCGUUGACCGUUGGUCACCGCAAUCCUGCCCCCAGUCCCGUGACGUUCGCGGUCCCUAACUCUGGCCAACAAAGAGUCCGUGCCUGAAAAGAACCAGUUUUUGGAGCCAAACACAAAGAACUGGUGCUAAGUCAAGCACUGGCUCCAAACUAGCACUAGCAUGAACCAGCUUGGUCAAAAAGGGGCAGAAGAGAAAGGCAUUGGAGAUGAAGUCAGCAUAACAGCGCCACUCUGUGGUGAAUGUGAGCUGUGUCCUGUAAACAUGUGAAAGGUAAAAUUCUCGUGUAAAUUAGCAAAACGUCCAAGUAGCCUAGCAAAGAGUGAGCUAAUGUCUUUCCAAGCUAAUCGGCCAUAACGUGGCAAUGCAGAGGGCUAGAGACGCGGGGCCAACUGUCCCUGAAAGCUCUCAAAGAGCUCUAUGGCAUAUGUCAGAACCAGGUCUGUAGCUCGUUGUUUAGCAUACCAGCUCCAACUCCAGUCAAACUCCGCAGGCCCACUCAGACUCCUACCCCCUCACACCUUCUGGCUCUGGCUACUGAAAAGCAGCAAGUCGCUCAUUUUUGGUCGUAGAGCCUCGAGCCACACAUGUACGGAAAGGAGUAGGUGCGCUGAACGUAGAUGUGCGAAAACCCCAAAAUACCUUCUUUCCUUUUGAAUGAAUUAAAGGUUUGACUUUCUGGGUAACAGGAAGCAGGACGUGGACCAGCAAAGUUUCCUCAGAUGAGCAAAAGUUAACUCUCUAAAUUAAGUGUUUUUCUUUCUUAGAACCUGCUUAAACCUGGUAGUUUUUGACUUACAUCAGUGUCUAACAUCACUAUGCCAUGCUUUUCAGUGUCUAUAUGCAUUUUCAGACUUUUAAAAUAUCACUUUUUAUCACUUGUUUGUGUAGUACAUGGCAGAUGAUGGUAUAGAUGUGAAUGUGCACUGCCACCAGAUGUGUUUCUAUGAUUAAAUUUUACGAUUUUUCCACUUUUGACACUUCCCUCUUAAACCCCUCUAAAUGUACAGGUGAAGGCACAUGGUUUCCACAGGCUGGAAGAAUGGUAUGUAAAAAUUUAGAGUGUACUUUGUGGUUAGUUAUACAAAGUUUGCUUUGGAGACAGAUCUCUAAUUUGGUGUGUUAUUUUUAACUUUCCACAGUCCAAAGCCUGUGGAAUUUGUUUUUUUAGCUUUGUCAACUUGAGACAGCACCUUAGUUCAACACACAACGUUAAAAAUAAAGACGAGUUGAGGCUUUUGCUAAAAUAUGGGAGUGCAAGAACUUCAGAAGCCCUCUUGUACCCAUUGUGUAGGAAAGCCAAGUUUGUCCGGCUGGACAAGCAUCUGCAGGAGAAACAUAAUCUUCUCUCAGCAGAUACAAGGUCGUGUGGAGGCAUUGGAAUUUAGCAAACUUUGAGAAACACGGAACCGGAGGUGCCCAUGGUGUCCACUUUGGACUUCGGGAACCCUGAAGAAAUGGAUUUGACCAAGCUGGAUCACUCUGGACUACCGACAUCUGGAAUGACUAUCCAUCUCCGGGGGGAUUUUGUCCGGUGGCGGCACCCAAAGUGACUCAG